rnacentral:rRNA from 1 species
CCUACGGGUGACAGCAGUGAGGAAUAUUGGUCAAUGGGAGAGAUCCUGAACCAGCCAAGCCGCGUGAGGGAAGACGGCCCUAUGGGUUGUAAACCUCUUUUGUCGGAGAACAAAACCCGGGACGUGUCCCGGACUGCGUGUAUCCGAAGAAAAAGCAUCGGCAAACUCCGCGCCAGCAGCCGCGGUAAUACGGGGGAUGCGAGCGUUAUCCGGAUUUAUUGGGUUUAAAGGGUGCGUAGGCGGUCCGUUAAGUCAGCGGCAAAAUUGCGGGGCUCAACCCCGACGAGCCGUUGAAACUGGCAGACUUGAGUGGGAGAGAGGUAUGCGGAAUGCGCGGUGUAGCGGUGAAAUGCAUAGAUAUCGCGCAGAACUCCGGUUGCGAAGGCAGCAUGCCGGCUCCACACUGACGCUGAGGCACGAAAGCGUGGGUAUCGAACAGGAUUAGAUACCCGGGUAGUC